rnacentral:rRNA from 1 species
AUGAACGCUGGCGGCGUGCCUAAUACAUGCAAGUCGAACGGGGAGUAGCAAUACUCUUAGUGGCGAACGGGUGAGUAACGCGUUGGUACCUGCCCCGAAGCGGGGGAUAACGGACCGAAAGGUCCGCUAAUACCCCAUGUGCUCGGUAACGAGUAAAGGUGAAAACCACUUUGGGAGGGGCCUGCGUCCCAUCAGCUAGUUGGUAAGGUAACGGCUUACCAAGGCGAUGACGGGUAGGGGACCUGAGAGGGUGGCCCCCCACAAUGGAACUGAAACACGGUCCAUACACCUACGGGUGGCAGCAGUAGGGAAUAUUGGUAAUGGGCGCAAGCCGGAACCAGCAACGCCGCGUGUGCGAUGACGGCCUUCGGGUUGUAAAGCACUUUUGACUGGGACGAGGAAGGACGGUACCGGUCGAAUCAGCCUCGGCUAACUACGUG